CUUCAGGAGAUCAGUGAUGAAAAUUUUCUAAAAAGUCCUGAGAUAAUACUGAAACUGCUGAUCUGAGAACCAUCCUUGAAGAACUACUGUCCCAAGACAUCUGCAUGGAAGCCAGUAACUUCUCUCACUUGGUAGGUACCAUCCUGGAGACAAUCGAGAAAAAUCAAGGCUUAAAUCAUCUUGUCUGGUUUGUGGUUCGGAGGUGUAGUUCUAGAUGAGAAGGAUUGAGUAAAAAAGGAAAGGGGACCAUAUUUUAAAGGGGAGUAGCACUGUGUAAGGGUUAGGUUGUGAAAAAUCAACUUAGUUAAACAAUAGCUUUGUUACAGAAAAUGCAGAACAAAUGUCGAUGAAGUAGGAAUUUGGGCAGAUCUAUCUACAUAUGGUAGGGCUAAAAUUAUUUUCUCACUUCAUCAAGUUAGGUUAAUCAUAUGAGAUCUUGCUCCUCUGAAUUUACAGGCGAAGAUGCAUGGUGAAUGAAAUACUCAUCUUGUCAAUUUCCUGACUUUUUACAAGAGAGAGAAGCAGACUCGCAUUUUCUUUUUCAUUUCUAAGGCCUAAGAAAUCAUUGGUGUGACUUGAACCUACGUUUUCCUUUUCAAUCCACUUGCCACUUUCUGCAAUUGGGAAAUCCAUGAUUUAGAGCACAGAGUUCUAAGUUUCAGUAGAGGAAUGUGACAGAUAAUUCAUCUCCAAAGCUCCUUUCAGCUUCUCUAUUCAGGAACUUGAUAGAAUGGUAAUUAUGAAAUCCACCACCCACCUAACUGUCCAUCCAUCCAUCCAACAAUGAAAAAGGAAUCCUGACUUAAAGAAUCACAUAGGCAAUCCAGUGGGUAAAGACAAAAUUAAAUAGCAAAUUCAUUGCAACUAUGAUAGAUUUUUGAGAAAGAUAAACAAGCAAAAAUUUUAUAUGAGCUGUAACAAAGGCAACUAAUGCUGUUUGCAGUCUGGGGUUGGAGGCCAAUGAAGUACUCUUUGAAUAAAAACAUUCAAGUGGAUACCUAAGAGUUGAGAUGUGAGUGAGGCCAGGGAUGAUGUGGAAAGGUUGCAAAUGACAUCACCCAGGCUGAAUUGAAGCACUGUCAUCAGGACCCUGACAUAAUCAGAUUUUAAUUUUUAAGGGCUCUCUGUGACUUCUACAUGCAAAAUACACUGGAGGAGAAAGAGGCUACCUCCAGAGCAGGGAUAGAAUAUCAACUUAAUAUUUCCACCCUUCUUCCAUUCCUAAAGAAAAAUAACUUUGUAUGUUUUACUCUUUUCAUGACAUCAUACACCAUAAUUUCUGCUUUGAUCUCAUGACAUAUAUUACUUGGCUCUGGACUUUAUAAGAACAAGCUUCACUUAAAGCAAAAUCAAAUUGUACAGCAAAGAUUGGCAAAAGAGAAGUAAAUGCACAUCUCUAGUAAUUAGAGAAAUGGAAAUCAAAACUACUCUAAGAUUUCAUCUCACUGUAGUCAGAAUGGCAGUUAUCAAGAAUACAAACAACAAUAAAUGUUGGCGAGGAUGUGGGGAAAAAGGUACACUCAGACAUUGCUGGUGGGACUGCAAAUUGGUGCACACUCUAUGGAAAGCAAGCAGUAUGAGGAUUCCUUAGGAAACCUGGAAUGGAACCACUAUUUGUCUCAGCUAUCUGAUGACUCCUCGGUUUACAUCCAAACGACUUAAAAUCAGCAUACUACAAUGAUACAGCCACAUCAAUGUUUAUAGCAGCACAACUCACAAUAGCUAAACUAUGGAACCUACCUACAUGCCUUUCAACAGAUGAAUGGAUAAAGAAAAUGUGGUAUACAUACAAUAUGGAAUAUUAGCCUUCAAAAAGAAUGAAAUUAUGGCAUUUGUCAGUAAAAUGGAUGGAGCUGGAGAAUAUCAUGCUAAGCAAAAUAAGACAACACAAAAAAUGAAAGAAAAGACUGAAUGUUUUCUCUAAUAUGUGGAUGUUAAUCCCCAAUUAAGUGUGUGUGUGUUGGGGGUGGCGGUUACGGAAGAACAGAGGUACUUUGUAUUAGGCAGAGGAGAGUGAAGGGAGGGGAGGGCAUAUGGGUAUAUGGGAGUAGGAAGGAUGGUAGAAUGAAUUGGACAUUAAUACCAUACAUGCAUAUAUGACUAUACAACCAGUAUGCUCCUAUAUCACGUACAAUUAGAUGAAAGAGAAAUUAUACUCAUUUAUGUAUGGCAUAAUCAAAAUGCAUUCUACUGUCAUGUAUAACAAUUAGAACAAACUAAAAAGAGAGAAAUAAAUUCUCAAUCUUUGAGUUAUAGUUUGAGUUGCACCACCCCCAAGUUCUAACCCUCAGUAUCUCAGAAUGUGAAUGUAUCUGGAGACAGGACCUUUAAAGAGGAAAUUCAGUUCAAAUGAGGCCCCAUUCUGUGUGACUGUGCCCUUAGAAGAAGAGGAGGGCAGGACACAGAUAGGUACAGAAGAAAGACCAUAUGCAUGUGGGGAAAAGACAGCCAUUGGCAAAUCAGAGUAGGCUUUGUAAGAAGCAACCCUGAAGAUAUCUUGACCUCUGACAUCCAGCCUCCAGAAUCAUGAGA
rnacentral:lncRNA from 1 species